UUUUACGAAUUUGUAUAUUGGUAUAAUCAUAUCAUGCUUUUCCUACAAUAUUAUAACUAACACUGACUCUCAUAAGUUUGAGUCUCAAGUCACGAAAAAGGCCAACUCUCACGUGUUGGCGGAAAGUUACCAAAAUAUGUUAAGGACUUAAUUCAGAGAUAAUGUUGCUAAACGACUUACAGUAGAU